GUACUUCUUCAGCGUGUUGGUGGAUAUCGGAUUUAAGGUUGUGUAUUUACGGGAAGGGGUAUCAAUUUCAAUCGAUAUUUGCUUUUCGCAGCUAGCGCUUUAGAAAUGCCUGACGGGAAGCUAUAGGAUGAGUCAGUUCUCGGCUCGGUGGCUUAUGAUUCGCUAAAGCAAGCAGCCAGAUGGCAGGAUCGAAUCGAGUCAGCUGACUUGUGAGCUGUGACCAUUGACCUUUGAUGGAGCUGCUGUGACAAGACAAAAGUAGUUUCAA